rnacentral:rRNA from 1 species
AUUGAACGCUAGCGGGAUGCCUUACACAUGCAAGUCGAACGGAGUAGCGAACGGGUGAGUAAUGUAUCGGAACGUGCCCAGUAGCGGGGGAUAACUACGCGAAAGCGUAGCUAAUACCGCAUACUAUUGGAGCGGCCGAUAUCGGAUUAGCUAGGUGGUGGGGGAACGGCGCACCCAGGCGACGGUCCGUAGCUGGUUUGAGAGGACGACCAGCCAAACUGGUACUGAGACACGGCCCAGACUCCUACGGGAGGCAGCAGUGGGGAAUUGUGGACAAUGGGGGAAAGCCUGAUCCAGCCAUCCCGCGUGUGCGAUGAAGGCCUUCGGGUUGUAAAGCACUUUUGGCAGGAAAGCGGUACCUGCAGAAUAAGCACCGGCUAACUACGUGCCAGCAGCCGCGGUAAUUC